UACGUAGGGGGCUAGCGUUGUCCGGAUUUAUUGGGCGUAAAGAGCGUGUAGGCGGCCAGGUAGGUCUGCUGUGAAAACUCGAGGCUUAACCUCGAGAUGUCGGCGGAAACCAUCUGACUAGAGUCCGGAAGAGGAGAGUGGAAUUCCUGGUGUAGCGGUGAAAUGCGCAGAUAUCAGGAAGAACACCCGUGGCUAAGGCGGCUCUCUAGGACGGUACUGACGCUGAGACGCGAAAGCGUGGGGAGCGAACAGG
rnacentral:rRNA from 1 species